UGCAGUCGAGCGGUAACAGGGGUAGCUUGCUACCCGCUGACGAGCGGCGGACGGGUGAGUAAUGCAUGGGUAUCUGCCCGGUAGUGGGGGAUAACUCGGGGAAACCCGAGCUAAUACCGCAUACGUCCUACGGGAGAAAGCAGGGGAUCUUCGGACCUUGCGCUAUCGGAUGAGCCCAUGUCGGAUUAGCUUGUUGGUGAGGUAACGGCUCACCAAGGCCGCGAUCCGUAGCUGGUCUGAGAGGAUGAUCAGCCACACCGGGACUGAGACACGGCCCGGACUCCUACGGGAGGCAGCAGUGGGGAAUAUUGGACAAUGGGGGAAACCCUGAUCCAGCCAUGCCGCGUGUGUGAAGAAGGCCUUCGGGUUGUAAAGCACUUUCAGUGGGGAAGAAGGCAUGGUGGUUAAUAACCAUCAUGAAGGACAUCACCCACAGAAGAAGCCCCGGCUAACUCCGUGCCAGCAGCCGCGGUAAUACGGAGGGUGCAAGCGUUAAUCGGAAUUACUGGGCGUAAAGGGCGCGUAGGCGGCUUGCCAAGCCGGAUGUGAAAGCCCCGGGCUCAACCCGGGAACGGCAUUCGGAACUGGCAGGCUAGAGUGCAGGAGAGGAAGGUGGAAUUCCCGGUGUAGCGGUGAAAUGCGUAGAGAUCGGGAGGAAUACCAGUGGCGAAGGCGGCCUUCUGGACUGACACUGACGCUGAGGCGCGAAAGCGUGGGUAGCAAACAGGAUUAGAUACCCUGGUAGUCCACGCCGUAAACGAUGUCGACCAGCCGUUGGACCCCUUGAGGGUUUGGUGGCGCAGUUAACGCAAUAAGUCGACCGCCUGGGGAGUACGGCCGCAAGGCUAAAACUCAAAUGAAUUGACGGGGGCCCGCACAAGCGGUGGAGCAUGUGGUUUAAUUCGAUGCAACGCGAAGAACCUUACCUGCUC
rnacentral:rRNA from 1 species